CCUACGGGAGGCAGCAGUGGGGGAUAUUGGACAAUGGGGGGAACCCUGAUCCAGCGACGCCGCGUGAGUGAAGAAGUAUUUCGGUAUGUAAAGCUCUGUCAGCAGGGAAGAAAGCAAUGACGGUACCUGACCAAGAAGCCCCGGCUCACUACGUGCCAGCAGCCGCGGUAAUACGUCGGGGGCAAGCGUUAUCCGGAAUUACUGGGUGUAAAGGGGGCGUAGACGGCUGUGCAAGUCUGGAGUGAAAGGCGGGGGCCCAACCCCCGGACUGCGCGGGAAACUGUAUGGCUGGAGUGCAGGAGAGGGAAGCGGAAUUCCUAGUGUAGCGGGGAAAUGCGUAGAUAUGAGGAGGAACACCAGUGGCGAAGGCGGCUUACUGGACUGUAACGGACGUGGAGGCUCGAAAGCGUGGGGAGCAAACAGGAUUAGAUACCCGGGUAGUC
rnacentral:rRNA from 1 species